UUCAGAUGCUCUAUGUUCAAAUGUAUGUCAUGACUACUUAUGUACUGGUGACCAGCUACCAGAAAGGCGGGCAGAAGAUGAGAGACAUUUGUGGCUCAUCUAAUUACUAUGAUGUGAAUGGUGUAUGCUGCUUUUUGCCAAGCUUGGCCAACUCCAUUACUAUGGCACCCAGCAGACGAUUAAACCAGGUUUUCAGCUCCUGCUGGCCUCCACAGCAUUGCUUUAGGUUGCUCCAGAUACCACCACAACCUGCCUUGAACCCCCUGGAGGCUGCUUCCCAAUAGCUGCUGGCAUAGGCCUGAAAAGGCUUGUGUGAACACAUCACAAUUAUGAACAUCUGACCUGUGGCAAACUCCUUGCUAACUGCAACCAAGGUGCUAGUUAGGCAUUCCAGUCCCUGUUCUGCUGAGUCAGUUCCAAGGUGUGAGGGAUACUUCCCUUUCCUUCCUCUUUUCCUCUCCAAGUCAGUAACAGUUCCAGGAGCAGAGGACAGUUUCAGCCUGGAUCAACUGCUGUUUUUUUUUUACCUUGUAUUUUAUUUUCUUUCAUGUGAUGCUGAUCCCAGACAAGAGCCCAAGUUAAACAUUCCUGUCUUUUUUUUUUUUUUAAUGCUUUACAUAAAAGAUUCAGGUCUGUGAGGUUCUUCUGGAAACUCUAAAGUUCCUUCUCCUUUUGGCUUUGCAACAUGGAUUUCGAUCAUAGGAUAUAGCUGGUGUGAACAGUAGCAUCCAUCCGACUGCAGAAUUCAGGCACAAAACAAUAGCCAUGGCAAUAAUUAAAACACAUGUGGGUCUUGCAUAGUAGACAAAAUCACACCUGAUACUUCCGAUCUGUAAUUCAAUUCUGGGACUUCUGCAAGGUGGAAAUGUGCUCUACUCAUUUAAAUGACAAGACUGAACUACGUUAGGAUACUAUUAUGAUGGAACAAUGUUUUCCAGAACAGUUGAUUUAAAAUAGGUCUGUCUGCAAAGGAUCUACAAAUUUAUUUUCUAAGUUAGAGAUGCUCUAACAAAUCAAAUAAAGACAAGUGUAUAUCUAAAUACUAGAAAAUAAGUCUUUAUUGUCGUACUUAAUAAUGUGUAUAUAUUAGAUUAUUUGAACAAUUAUCUCAAAUUAUUCGUUUUACGUGCUUAUUAUUUUAUUUCUUCACUAUUAAAAAUCACCAUUUCUAGAUACAAGUAUAACCUUAGUGGUUAAACUGAAAUACCAUGCAUCUGACUGCUCAUGAAAUAGUACCUCUAGUAAAUCAUAUUAAUGAACAUAUCAACAGUACAGAAACAUUCUUUUUCUCUCUAUUUGAAUAGUUUAGUCACCAAAUUAUUUGAUGGACCAAAAUGUAUUUCUGUGACAAAAUGGAUUAAACUCAUAAAGCUGUAAGAAACGCGUAUCUUGCCUUUCAUCUCUCUCCGGUCACCCAGUUGGACAAAUGGGGCUCAGUUACUUGCCUCCUUUCUAGCUCAUUUGCCCAAGGCAGCAAACCAAAUGAACUAUGGGCAACAGUUUAUACA